UUCCCCCUAUUUUAUCUCUAAAACUACGAAUCCAUUGACCGCAAUGAUCCAACGGCUCCCAUUUGAUCAUGCAUUUUAACUAGCCAAAGACGUCAAACCCUAAUCAUUAUAUCCUUGACCGGCCACCCUUUCUUCCCCUUCCUCUCUCUUUUCUCUCAUCUCCAUCAAACCCCAUCGUACUGAAAUAUUUAUGUUGUCUCUCUUCCAACCACGAAUGCCACUGAGAUUUCCUUUUUUGUCAAUCAAUUUGAAUCCCAAACCCUAAAAUCCUAGACCAAAGAAAAAAGAACUAAUAUAAUCAUUUCACCUUCUACUCGUUCAAAUAACUACAUGCAACUAUAGAUUCAUGAGAAUCUUGACUAUAUUAUGAUGAUUCUUGAUCCAGAGAUCAAACACAGUGACCUCUGGACAUCGGUUUUGACUGAUGGUCUAUUUGGCUCUAACAGCCAAUUUUCUUCACCAUUUCAUACCAAGGUAAACUUCUUUCAGAUUUUCCCCCUCUCUUCCCAUCUUUCCUUUUUUUUUUUGCUCUUAUCCGUAACUCAAUCGUCAUCUUUCACUAUCCUUUCGAAUUCAGAUGAACCCUAAUGCUCUAAUGCUCUUACCUAACAAGAUGAAAUACCUUAAAAACCAAAGUAAAUCUAUCUGUUUAUAUACUUUGAAUCUCUUCUCUAAUUUUUUUUUCUUUUCUUUCACUUUUGCUAGAGUUUGACCACAGUGAGUUGAUUGUGAGAUUGAGUUCUUAAAAGGCUACAAAUUAUCCUUACUUGGUUUACUGCUCCGAAGAAGGUCAGUGCAUCACGACCUCCCUUUUUUAUCUUUCAACUAAUUAUGUAACUCUUUAUUUGAUGUUUUUCCUGUUAAUCACCUUUUGUUCAUGGUAUACAUCAGUAACAUUGUGACUAUUCUUGCUAUGUUCUGCUUUUUGUGUUAUGCUCAAUUUUGAGUUAAUAAUAUUUCCUGAUAGUUAUGUUAUCUCUAUGUUGUUGUUGAACUCUAUUUCUCAUGACUUAGCUAGUAGAAAUGAUUUUACACUAUUGUAGUCCUUAUAAGCAAUCAUGUUGAGCUUUCAUGAACUAAAUUCUAUGUUAAUAAUUAUAUGUGUGUUCCAUCCUUGUUAGUUGAAUAAUAGCCAUAUAUAUAUUAUCAUGUUGACUGAACUAUGUUCUUGAACUUCUCCUGAUGUCCUGUUAAGAUUUUAUACUUGAUGCCAUAAGCUAUCUUGAUCUUUAUGCCUAUGAAAUUGUAUUGUAUUGUUUUAGCUCAAUGAAUGAUGUUCAGCACUGCUCAUAUUCUCAUGUUGAUCUGUUUGCCAGAAUGGGUUAGUUGGCAGUCUUGUUCAUGAUGCUAUGUUGUACUAAAUAUUUAAGAUAGAAUGAUUCAUGUGAGUCUAUCGUGAUAAUAAAAUAAAUGGAAUCAUGUGAUAAACUUGUUGGCAGACUUAUCGCUGAACCUGCCUAUUUAUUGUAUUCUGCUUGUCUUACCUAGAUCAGCCAUAAAAUGGGUGUCUUUACUUGCUAUCUCAUGACUAUCCGAUAGCAUUGUUUGGAUAAUCCUCACUUAUAAAUAUGAAUAUGGUUUGGUUAUGGUCAUCUGAAGGUCUGAUGGAUUGUACUUUGACAUGAUUAGAUAUCAUGCCUAUUAGGAUUAAAUAAAGACUUAAAUUAGGCUUCUUACUCAUGUUAGUGUCCCUGUUAAUCUAGUUGAUUGGUAUGCCCUUUGGAAACUCUGAGUAAUGCUACUAGCAUAAUUAUUCAAUAUAUGGAAGUCUUAGCUAUAUGCCUACUUGCUUGGAAAGCUAUGCUGAAACUGUUAUGAUGUUUGAGACUUGUUCUAGUGGCCUAAACCCACUUAAGGAAGUUCUGAAGUAUUGAACCUUUAGUGGAAUUAAUAGAACAAGUGCACAUGCCCAUCUUUGUCACUUACCGAUGCUUUAGACUACUCAAUAAGACAUCCUGAACUUGUAGUUGUAAGAAAUGGAACCUAUCUACUGGCAGCAUAUAAUCAGUUUUCUUUGCUUUCAUACUUCUGCUUGGUUGUAUCCUAGUAGUGAUACUCAUAAGUGUUCUGUACAUGUUGUGAUACUUAGAAUCAACAUCAGGGCCUUUUAUCACCAUCAAAACUUUAAUGAUCCACUUGUAGUGACAUGUUCUUAUAUUUUGUGUUCUAUUGAGAAUGUUUCAAGGUCAAUAUUGUUAAGUCCUUAGCUGCAUAUGGUUUGGCACUCUAAUGAUGGCCGUAAUUCUUAAAAUGGUUGUUUGUUUUCAAAUUGGUGUUUCUGUGUGGAUGAACCUUUGAAAGGUUUUAUGAUGAACCUUUUGUACUUGCCCCUUUCAUGUUCUAGGUUGGUUGAGCUGUUGAGUUAACAUUAGCUUGUGCUCAAACUUUUGAGGAAGAUUAAUGGUCAAUGUUCCAAAGUAUUUGGGUGUGAGCCUGGCUUUGUGUUUGAGGCAGCCCUCUCUGACACAAGCACUGCUCGAGGUCCAUGAGACCUGUAUGAACUCUGAAGUGUCAGGGGUCCAUAGGGGGACUUCAUAAAUAAACAUGGUUCACCCUAAGCCCUUAAUCAUUGAUCUUAACAAUCUUCAAAGGUUUAAAACAAAUGAAAAUUAACUUUAUCGUGCUCUUUAGAUAUUUAUUAUUUAUUAUAAUUUUAUAUUACUUCAUCUUUAUGUUGACGUAUACUAUUUAUUUUCACUUUCUUUUAUGCAUGAUCGAUUGGGCCUACUGAGUUCAUUUGGAAACUCAGGCCCGAGUUCAAGAAAUUGGGUCCCUUCCUUGCUACCUAUUGAGUCCGCUGCUGAUUUGAAUUCUGCUGGGCCUGGCUACUUGCCAACCCGAUAUCAAGAGUCCAGCCUUCUUUUCUUUUACUUAAAAUUAUUGCUGUUAUUAUUUGUUGUUUCUAUGUAUAUAUCUUUGAAGAACGAACCUUAUUAUUGGAUAUUCUUUUGGCAUCUUGAUUAUUUAGAAAAAUUAGGUAAAACAAGACUUAUAGAUAAAAGGUAUCUUUGAUCAUAAGGUUCACCUGUUUCAACUACUUUGAAGUUUUGAACCUCAAUAUUUUAAGACUAAUCAUUUAAUAAACAAACAACUUUUCUCUAUUUAUAUUUUGCCACUAAUGAGUUUUCAGUGAUCUUAGGCUUUCGCAGAUCCAAAGGAUGAAAAUAAAUCCUCUUUGAAAAAUCUUCAAAUGGAUCACGUAGAAGACACGAACUGUUUCAAAAAUAAAAGGUAAUCAUAUACAGUGGGUUUGCAAAGAAUAAUACCAAUGCUUUUGAAAACGCAAGGCCUUCUACUAGAGCAGUUUUUUUCUAAAACAAACAAGGUAUAUAUGCUUUCAAUAAAUAGCGUAUUUUGAAGCAAUCUCUCAUUCUACAAUUUAUAAAGACUCACAAAUAAGUAUUACCCCUCUAAAGGAGAUACACAACCUUUUCUCAAAGAUGAGUUUUCAAACAAUAUUCAAAACUUUCACAGAGCCUCAUUGAACAACUUCAACCAAAAUCAACUACGAUAUAGAUACUUUUUCCCCGAACCUAGCCUAAGUUUCAGGAUAUACCUCAGGUAGAUUUUAAGAGAUGUCUAAUACCUUCUCCUUAGAAUAACUAAAACCCUUACACCAAUUUCACUGGUUAGCAGACCACUAGGAUAAUAUUUUUACAAACUUAUAGGUACCCUAGUAUACCUUAAAUAUUAGGUGGCGACUAUUUUUAUCAAAUUCAGAAGACCUACUAGUUGUAUUUUAUUUUGACUUAAGCAAAUUAGGAUGCAACAACAUGGCGACUCCGCUGGGGAUGUAUACUUUGGUUCUGACCUUAGCAGACUUAGGCUAGACUUGAAUUUGGGGAUGUUUGUUUAUAUUCUACUUUAAUUGUGUAUUUAACCUGCAAAUAUGUGUUUACUCAUUUUAUCUUACUUGCUUACACUUUACAUGACUUUAUAACCUGCUAAUAUGUGUUUAUCUGUUUAUUCUUAAUAUUAUCACUAUGUCUCCUCAAUAACGUAUUACUACCUUAUACAUUGUCAUCACAUUUUUCCUAUCGAGUCUUGGUUGUACACAAUCACACACAAUGUAACGCGAGGGUUGUCUUUUUACCCCUCUGAACCUUCUUUUCAAAACUUUCUAGUUUCAAAGAAUGACCUUGUCAGGACAACUGACAUAUCGUCUCGCAGUUAUUCAGUCCAACUCUAAAUUUAAGAAACACUCUAUUCUUAGGAAUCACAAGUCAUACUGCAUAAACCUUAGGUGGUUCGGUCCUUGGUAUUGACUCAUAAUUAGGAAAGCCAUCAUAAUGUCAAUGGGUCAUACACCUAACGACAUGUCUUCCAUGGAACAACAAAUCAAUCCAGAUAAGACACCAAGGAUUUGGAGCAAAAUACUUACUAAACCAUUCACCCUUUUAGAUGGAAAUCAACCGCAAUGACCUGGAAAUUAGCAUGGUCAUGGGAGCACCUCACAAGCUGUAAUGAUCCGACCAGUUAUUUUGUAUAUUUGGGACCUGUUUCCCCUUUUGAUGCAUCACACAUGUGUAACGUAUUCUUUAUGACUUGCGGGAUUGAUUGAUUUCAUUCCAGGAAGACUUCAGGAUAAUUUAGACCAUUUGAUCCUUGGCUUAGAAGCCUAAGUUAUUUAUGAGAAUAUUUGACUUUUGUGAAAAAGAUAUCGGAUUGGUAUUUUGAUGGCUUCGAUAGCUUUGUAUUGUAAAUUAGAACUUGGACGUAUGCCCGGAAUCGAAUUUGGAAGUCCGUAGGUUGAUUUGUGUUGUUUUGUCAAAAAUUAGUAAUUUGGGAUUUAAAAGUUUGACCGUAGGUUGACUUUUGGCUAUCGGGCUUGGAAUUGGAUUUUGGGACUUGAAUAGGUCCACUAUGCUAUUUUUAACUUGUCUGCAAAAUUUGGUGUCAUUUGGAGUUGAUUUGAUAGGAUUCGGACGCUUAGUUGUAAUUCUAGAGGUUGUUGAACUUUACUUUGAAAUUUAUGCGUUUUGGUAUCCGAUUCGUAGUUAUAGAUGUUAUUUUUAUGUUUUGAUCAUGCUAGCGAGUUUGUAUGAUAUUUUAAGACUUAUGUGGAUGUUUGGUUUGGAGCCCCGAGGGCUCGGAUGAGUUUCAGACGUGUUUCAGAGUGUUUUGAACUUAUCACAGAAAAUCUGGUGUGCUGGUGCUCUGAUGUCGCAAUUGCUCUGAUAUCAUAAUUGUUUUAUCUUGCAUUGUUUAAUGAUAUUAAAUCAAUUUUGGUUAGAUAUGAGCCGCGUGAGGUGAAAUUCAGGGGAAAAUCUAUUUCCCAGGGUUCAGUUGGCCUAGUUGAGAUAAGUAUCUUGCCUAACUUUGUGGGGGGGAGGGGGGGGGACUUCCCCUUAGGAAUUGGUUUGUUUGUGCUAAUUUUGUUAUGUGAAAGCCGUGUAUGUAAGAUGACGAGUGGGUACACGGGCUAUAUUUGGUGUUUGACUGAUUUAGGCUAUUUAGACUCUUACAUGCCUUACUUGACGUUGUUAAAACAUGUUUCACCUCUUACUUGCUAAUUUGCUCUUAUAUGCCUUAGUUGAAGUUAUUUCAUUCCUUAUUGUUUGUUACAUCUUUAAUUUGUUGAAUUGUUUGUAAUUGAAGUUGUUAUUUAGUGAAAUAUCUUAUUGUUGAGUUAUUGGUGUUGAAGUUGAGAAAGUCGUUAUCACAUUGAGGUAAAGUUGUUAAUUGUUGAGAUAUGCUUUUUGUUUAGCAACUCACUUUCAUUUUGUGAUUGUUGAGAUUCUUGUGCAUAUUGUGGUUGAGCCAUAGGCCGUUUGUUGUGGAAACAUUUGUAUUGUUAAUUUUUUUGGCAAGUUGUGGCAUAUGGGCACUUGUGGUGCGAGUUGUGAUUAUGUUGUGAUAUUGAUACGCAUGCGGUGGUAUAAGGCUAGGGGUUGAUAUGCAUGAGGUGAGAUAAGGUGGGCUUGAUACGCGCGUUGCUAGUAGGGGAACUACUUGAAGCCACGUUGUGUGUUAAGGUGGGCUAAAAUGCGGGUAUCUAUUUCGGAAAACAUGAUUUUGAAAAUUAAAUAUAAGGCUCCCGCGGUGAUAUAAGGAAAUAUUGUAAUUUAAAUUGUGAAAAGUGAAUACGAGAUGGUACCUCGGGUGUGAUUCUUAUUGUGCAUUCCAUAUUGAAACGAGUUAUUGGUUGAACAGUUCUUGUUGCUUUAUUUCUUCCUUGUCUUACCAAUUUUGUUCUAUUUGAUUAUUUGAGAUUCUCCUUGGUUGCUUCCUUAUUGUUGUCUUUCUGCCUACGAUUCUGUAAUUAGUUAACGUUAUUAUACUGCCUUAUUGUCAUUUAUUUCCUCGCUUUCCAUUACUUCUCGUUAUUAUAUUUUUUUCUAUUUAUUAUGUCCUAGUAGGUGUCUUGACCUGGCCUCGUCACUACUCUACCGAGGUUAGGAUUGAUACUUAUUGGGUACCGUUGUGGUGUAUUCAUACUACACUUCUACACAUCUUUUUGUGCAGAUCUAGGUACGUCUUCACGUGCUGUCUUCAGGAGACUUCAAGGUAUACUGCUCAGCGUCCGCAGGCUUCGGAGUCACCUUCCAUUAUAUUUCCAUUUUUUUGUUCUCUUAUUUGGAUACUGUUGUAAUAGACAUUCUAGAUUAUCCUAUAGAUCUUAUAACUUAGUUCCACUGGUUUUUGGAAAUAUGUUGUUGAGAUCCUAUUUUGGAGGUUUAUAUGAGUUUAACUAUUUUACUUUAGUAUCUCUAUUUCAUCAUUUCUGUUAAAUUCUUAUUAAAUGUUAGGCUUACCUAGUCUUAAAGACUAGGUGCCAUCACGACAUCCUAAGGAGGGAAAUAGGGGUCGUAACACAAGCUAAAACAAUGGAGGAGGAAUAUCCGAUGAGAGCACGGAGAUAAAAUCAAGAUACAUAUAGGAGCAUUGACUGCACUAAUGAACAUU
rnacentral:lncRNA from 1 species